rnacentral:rRNA from 1 species
GGGAGGUAGUGACAAUAAAUAACAAUACGGGGCUCUUUUGGGUCUCGUAAUUGGAAUGAGUACAAUUUAAAUCUCUUAACGAGGAACAAUUGGAGGGCAAGUCUGGUGCCAGCAGCCGCGGUAAUUCCAGCUCCAAUAGCGUAUAUUAAAGUUGUUGCAGUUAAAAAGCUCGUAGUUGAAUUUCGGGGUCAGUAGGUUGGUCGUGCCUAUGGUAUGUACUGGCUUUACUGAUUCCUCCUUCUUGAAGAACUGUAAUGUCAUUAAUUUGGUGUUGCAGGGAAACAGGACUGUUACUUUGAAAAAUUAGAGUGUUUAAAGCAAGCAUUAGCUUGAAUACAUUAGCAUGGAAUAAUGAAAUAGGACGUUUGAUCCUAUUUCGUUGGUUUCUAGGAUCGACGUAAUGAUUAAUAGGGAUAGUUGGGG